UACGAAGGGGGCUAGCGUUGUGCGGAAUUACUGGGCGUAAAGGGCGCGUAGGCGGCGUGUCAAGUCAGGCGGGAAAGCCCCGGGCUCAACCUGGGAACCGCGCUUGAGACUGGCAUGCUCGAGUUCGGGAGAGGAUGGUGGAAUUCCCAGUGUAGAGGUGAAAUUCGUAGAUAUUGGGAAGAACACCGAUGGCGAAGGCAGCCAUCUGGACCGACACUGACGCUGAGGCGCGAAAGCGUGGGGAGCAAACAGG
rnacentral:rRNA from 1 species